GGUAAAUGAGUGGGAGUGUGGGAGGAGUCUUGUAACAGCGCGUCAGUGUGUGUGUGCGUGCGUGUACCGGUGCGUAAGGAGAGCACUUGGGCGGAGAGGGACGCAAGCAUCGCGCCUGAGAGUUCAUCGCAAUCUGAAGCUUUACAUUACGUGUACGUACUCCGCACAACUCACUCCAGUGUACAGGCUCGCGCAAACUUUCCCCACGUUGAGAAUGGCAGAGCAAUCGAACAGCGAUGGAGAGGAGAGCAGCGCACCCAUGAGGGGCUUUGCCCGACAAGGUGCUCUGAGACAGAAGAACGUUCACGAAGUUAAGAACCACAAGUUUAUCGCUCGCUUCUUCAAGCAGCCUACUUUCUGCAGCCACUGCACGGACUUUAUCUGGGGUUUUGGGAAACAAGGAUUUCAGUGUCAAGGACACGCACCUGCAUUUUGAGAAUCAACUCGCCGUGGUUGGAGCCACCGUUGGAAGCUAAUAAUAUUCAUG